rnacentral:rRNA from 1 species
AGGGCACCACCAGGAGUGGAGCCUGCGGCUUAAUUUGACUCAACACGGGAAAACUCACCCGGCCCGGACACUGGAAGGAUUGACAGAUUGAGAGCUCUUUCUUGAUUCAGUGGGUGGUGGUGCAUGGCCGUUCUUAGUUGGUGGAGUGAUUUGUCUGGUUAAUUCCGAUAACGAACGAGACUCUAGCCUACUAAAUAGAUCGUCGGCUUACAAACGCCGGCGAGACUUCUUAGAGGGACAGGCGGUGAUUCAACCGCACGAAACAGAGCAAUAACAGGUCUGUGAUGCCCUUAGAUGUCCGGGGCCGCACGCGCGCUACACUGAAGUGAUCAGCGUGCUUUUUCAACCUACUCUGUCAAGAGUGGGGAACCCAAUGAACCUUCUUCGUGAUUGGGAUAGGGGAUUGUAAUUAUUCCCCUUGAACGAGGAAUUCCCAGUAAGCGCGAGUCAUAAGCUCGCGUUGAUUACGUCCCUGCCCUUUGUACACACCGCCCGUCGCUACUACCGAUUGAAUGUCUU